rnacentral:tRNA from 1 species
UGCCGGAUCGGCUAAUGGUAGGCCCGCGGACUCUGAAUCCGCUAAUCUUGGUUCGAAUCCAAGUCCGGCAG